rnacentral:rRNA from 1 species
AGCUUGCUCCCUUAGGUCAGCGGCGGACGGGUGAGUAACACGUGGGUAACCUGCCUGUAAGACUGGGAUAACUCCGGGAAACCGGGGCUAAUACCGGAUGCUUGAUUGAACCGCAUGGUUCAAUCAUAAAAGGUGGCUUUUAGCUACCACUUGCAGAUGGACCCGCGGCGCAUUAGCUAGUUGGUGAGGUAACGGCUCACCAAGGCGACGAUGCGUAGCCGACCUGAGAGGGUGAUCGGCCACACUGGGACUGAAACACGGCCCAAACUCCUACGGGAGGCAGCAGUAGGGAAUCUUCCGCAAUGGACGAAAGUCUGACGGAACAACGCCGCGUGAGUGAUGAAGGUUUUCGGAUCGUAAAACUCUGUUGUUAGGGAAGAACAAGUACCGUUCGAAUAGGGCGGUACCUUGACGGUACCUAACCAGAAAGCCACGGCUAACUACGUGCCAGCAGCCGCGGUAAUACGUAGGUGGCAAGCGUUGUCCGGAAUUAUUGGGCGUAAAGCGCGCGCAGGCGGUUUCUUAAGUCUGAUGUGAAAGCCCCCGGCUCAACCGGGGAGGGUCAUUGGAAACUGGGGAACUUGAGUGCAGAA